rnacentral:lncRNA from 1 species
CACGAUUAUCCUUAUUAACAUUAAUAAUAAAUAUUUUUUAUAAACUUCUAUAUUAUUUUUACAGCAUUAUAAUGGUAAUUGUUAUACUUUUGUCCUAAUUACUUACUGUGUGUUAUUUCACGCUUUAUAUUUUCUUCGCGGAAAGUCAUUUAUUUUCAUUUGUCACUCUUACAGACCAAUAAAGAUGCAGCAAAUGCAUCUGACAACACUUCCAAUGUUUACAUCAGCUUUCUUCUUAACGUAAAUGGACUAUAGAACUGUAGGGAAUAAAUAUGAGGCUGUAGUUACUCCAUCUAGUGGAGGAGCUGAAAAUAAAUUGAAGUAUUUUAUUCAGGCAUAUAUGCAACUGUUCCACUCCUCCCACUCUCCCCUAUAUAUAGAAAAAAUUUAUUUUGUCUUUUUUAAAAUAAAAUACUUUAAAAUAAGCAUACAGACCACUAGUAUUAAUUUUUAAAUCAUCGUAAAAUUUGAAAUUCGUCCAUUGGAAUGGACCUGGGAAUUCAAUAGUUGUAAGACUUAAAAUAUAAUGACGAAGAGAUGCAUAUGUAUUUACAAUGUAAAAAUCAAAAAUACGUUAAAAAUAAACA